rnacentral:misc_RNA from 1 species
UACGGAGGGUGCAAGCAUUAAUCGGAAUUACUGGGCGUAAAGGGCGCGUAGGCGGGCCUGCAAGUCAGAUGUGAAAUACCGAAGCUCAACUUCGGUGCUGCAUUUGAAACUAUGGGUCUGGAGGAUAGGCGGAGAAAAUGGAAUUCCACAUGUAGCGGUGAAAUGCGUAGAUAUGUGGAAGAAUACCGGUGGCGAAGGCGAUUUUCUAGCUUAUACCUGACGCUGAGGCGCGAAAGCAAGGGGAGCAAACAGG